AGAUUGAACGCUAGCGGGAUGCUUUACACAUGCAAGUCGAACGGCAGCGCGGACUUCGGUCUGGCGGCGAGUGGCGAACGGGUGAGUAAUAUAUCGGAACGUGCCCAGUAGCGGGGGAUAACUACGCGAAAGCGUGGCUAAUACCGCAUACGCCCGUACGGGGGAAAGGGGGGAUUCUUCGGAACCUCUCACUAUUGGAGCGG
rnacentral:rRNA from 1 species